AACGAACGCUGGCGGCAGGCUUAACACAUGCAAGUCGAGCGCCCCGCAAGGGGAGCGGCAGACGGGUGAGUAACGCGUGGGAAUCUACCCAUCUCUACGGAAUAACGCAUGGGAACGUGUGCUAAUACCGUAUACGUCCUUCGGGAGAAAGAUUUAUCGGAGAUGGAUGAGCCCGCGUUGGAUUAGCUAGUUGGUAGGGUAAAGGCCUACCAAGGCGACGAUCCAUAGCUGGUCUGAGAGGAUGAUCAGCCACACUGGGACUGAGACACGGCCCAGACUCCUACGGGAGGCAGCAGUGGGGAAUAUUGGACAAUGGGCGCAAGCCUGAUCCAGCCAUGCCGCGUGAGGGAUGAAGGCCCUAGGGUUGUAAAGCUCUUUCACCGGUGAAGAUAAUGACGGUAACCGGAGAAGAAGCCCCGGCUAACUUCGUGCCAGCCGCCGCAGUAACAC
rnacentral:rRNA from 1 species